UACGUAGGGUGCGAGCGUUGUCCGGAAUUAUUGGGCGUAAAGGGCUCGUAGGCGGUUUGUCGCGUCGGGAGUGAAAACCCAGGGCUUAACUCUGGGCUUGCUUUCGAUACGGGCAGACUAGAGGUAUGCAGGGGAGAACGGAAUUCCUGGUGUAGCGGUGAAAUGCGCAGAUAUCAGGAGGAACACCGGUGGCGAAGGCGGGUCUCUGGGCCGAUACUGACGCUGAGGAGCGAAAGCGUGGGGAGCGAACAGG
rnacentral:rRNA from 1 species